AUGUCUCCAGAGGCACCUCAAAACCAUCGCACCUGGAAUUGAGUGCCUGUUACCUGCCAACCAGUCACUGCUGCUCCAUCCUUCCAGUUACUCCAGCCCCAGCACUCACGCGGUGGAGCUCCGAGGGUUUCACUAGGUUGCCCAAGCAAGACUUUUGCCUGUGACCAUCCUGCCUUAACCUGCAUAAGUGCUCCAAUUACAGGUACGGCUUCUCUUCCUUCCACUCCUGAAUGACUGCCUGUACCACUUUCUCAUCUCCCUGCAAGGAGAGGCACUGGG